rnacentral:tRNA from 2 species
UACUGGGGUGGCAGAGCAUGGUAAAUUGCAUAAGGCCUAAGCCCUUAAAACCAGAGGUUCAAGUCCUCUCCCCAGUUU